rnacentral:rRNA from 1 species
UACGUAGGUGGCAAGCGUUGUCCGGAUUUACUGGGCGUAAAGGGCGUGCAGGCGGUUUGUUAAGUGCAGGGUGAAAGCUCCCGGCUCAACUGGGAGAGGUCCUUGCAUACUGGCAAACUUCGAGGGAGGCAGAGGAAAGUGGAAUUCCCGGUGUAGUGGUGAUAUGCGUAGAUAUCGGGAGGAACACCGGUGGCGAAGGCGGAUCUCUGGGCCGUAACUGACGCUGAGGAGCGAAAGCAUGGGGAGCGAACAGG